UACGUAGGCAGCGAGCGUUGUUCGGAGUUACUGGGCGUAAAGAGUGCGUAGGCGGUGCUCCAAGUCUGGUGUGAAAUCUCCCGGCUUAACCGGGAGGGUGCGCCGGAAACUGGGGUGCUGGAGUGUGGGAGAGGUAAGCGGAAUUCCCGGUGUAGCGGUGAAAUGCGUAGAGAUCGGGAGGAACAUCAGUGGCGAAGGCGGCCAUCUGGGCCUUACCUGACGCUCAGGCGCGAAAGCUAGGGGAGCGAACAGG
rnacentral:rRNA from 1 species